AAACCAUCCCAUUGCAUUGUCAUCGAGUUACGGAUCUCUCUCAUGUCUUCUUGUACGCCCAUGUGAAUGUGGGUGUUUUCACGAGGGUGUUCACCUUAACCUCAUCCCGUCUGGUGUCAUUUAACUCUUCAGCGGAUGGAUGGAGCAACUGACGUAGAUGUCUGGCUGUAUUUCCCAGACAUAAAGCCGACCAGGAAAGAAAAACAAGAAAAUGUUGCGACGUGAUAAUAAACACACGGAGCGAGAGAGGGAAAAUGGCGCCCGCAGUGCUGCGAUAUUUUCAAAGGGGGCGAGAGGAGACUACGAGGUUCAUCGCGCG